UUAGAGGAUCAAACGCGCUGAC
rnacentral:piRNA from 1 species